rnacentral:rRNA from 1 species
CCCCUAGAUGUUCUGGGCCGCACGCGCGCUACACUGAACAGUUCAACAAGUCUUAACCUUGGCCGAAAGGUCUGGGUAAUCUCCAAAUUUCGUCGUGAUGGGGAUAGAUUAUUGCAAUUAUUAAUCUUCAACGAGGAAUGCCUAGUAAGCGCAAGUCAUCAGCUUGCGUUGAUUACGUCCCUGCCCUUUGUACACACCGCCCGUCGCUCCUACCGAUUGAAUGGUCCGGUGAAGCGUUCGGACCGUGGCCUUUGGACGGUUCGCCGUCUGUUGGCUGCGGGAAGUUCGUUAAACCUUAUCAUUUAGAGGAAGGAGAAGUCGUAACA